CCCAAAAAUAGGGCACUAAGGUAACAGUCUUUCCCAUGCUGAGUUCGGAGAUGUUCAGCAGCAAAAUAAGAAACAUGGUGGUUCUUAUGUAAUUUUUUUUGCAAAAGAAGAACUAGAGUUAGGGCCUUUGCAACGAAAUUUGAUUUGGAGACCCAGGGUUGGUUGUAUUUGACACCACAGACAUGCAAAAUAUUCCAGAACUUUAGUCUAUCUGCUGUUUAUUUCUGUGCCAACUGAUCACAAUUCAAUUUAGUCACAAUAAUUGUUUAUUUGCGGCCACAAUGUUGUCAACUUGGUGGCUUUGUAAAAAUGUAGCAUGGAUGCAACUUCUAAUUGUCAAUGCUGCGUGUGGUUACGUGUGGUAAUGGUACAAUAAAAAGGAAAGGUAGAGCUACCAGCUGAUUAAAAUUUUUUUCUAAGAGUGCUAGGAAGAAACUUAAAUUGCGGGGUGGGCAAUAAUGAUAUUAAGCAGAUUUGCCACGGAAUUGAAGGAUUGGCCAAUUAGGAUCAUAUGUUUGAGAGAACAUCCAGCAUUUCAUUCGCCUUUCGCAUAAUUUAGCUCUUUUAGAAAUGAACAAAAAAUAUCAAAUAAAUAAAAACAACUUAUUGGAUAUAAUUUUGAAUAA